AAUAUGUCACAAUGGAGGAAACUCUGAUGCAGCGACGCCGCGUGAGCGAUGAAGGCUUUCGUGUCGUAAAGCUCUUUCCUAGGGGACGAUAAUGACGGUACCCUAGGAGGAAGACCCGGCUAACUAAGUGCCAGCAGCCGCGGUAAUACGUAGGGGGCGAGCGUUGUCCGGAAUUAUUGGGCGUAAAGGGUUCGCAGGCGGCCUUUUAAGUCAGAUGUGAAUGCCCACGGCUUAACCGUGGUAAGCAUUUGAAACUGGAAGGCUUGAGUUAAGGAGAGGAAAGUGGACUUCCUAGUGUAGCGGUGAAAUGCGUAGAUAUUAGGAGGAAUACCAGUGGCGAAGGCGACUUUCUGGACUUAUACUGACGCUGAGGAACGAAAGCGUGGGGAGCAAAC
rnacentral:rRNA from 1 species